rnacentral:rRNA from 1 species
ACGGGGCUAAACUAUGCACCGAAGCUGCGGCAGCGACACUAUGUGUUGUUGGGUAGGGGAGCGUUCUGUAAGCCUGUGAAGGUGUGUCGUGAGGCAUGCUGGAGGUAUCAGAAGUGCGAAUGCUGACAUAAGUAACGAUAAAGCGGGUGAAAAGCCCGCUCGCCGGAAGACCAAGGGUUCCUGUCCAACGUUAAUCGGGGCAGGGUGAGUCGACCCCUAAGGCGAGGCCGAAAGGCGUAGUCGAUGGGAAACGGGUUAAUAUUCCCGUACUUGGUGUUACUGCGAAGGGGGGACGGAGAAGGCUAUGUUGGCCGGGCGACGGUUGUCCCGGUUUAAGCGUGUAGGUGUGUGUUCCAGGUAAAUCCGGUUCACUUUAACACUGAGGCGUGAUGACGAGGCACUACGGUGCUGAAGCAACAAAUGCCCUGCUUCCAGGAAAAGCCUCUAAGCAUCAGGUAACAUCAAAUCGUACCCCAAACCGACACAGGUGGUCAGGUAGAGAAUACCAAGGCGCUUGAGAGAACUCGGGUGAAGGAACUAGGCAAAAUGGUGCCGUAACUUCGGGAGAAGGCACGCUGACACGUAGGUGAAGUGAUUUACUCAUGGAGCUGAAGUCAGUCGAAGAUACCAGCUGGCUGCAACUGUUUAUUAAAAACACAGCACUGUGCAAACACGAAAGUGGACGUAUACGGUGUGACGCCUGCCCGGUGCCGGAAGGUUAAUUGAUGGGGUCAGCGCAAGCGAAGCUCCUGAUCGAAGCCCCGGUAAACGGCGGCCGUAACUAUAACGGUCCUAAGGUAGCGAAAUUCCUUGUCGGGUAAGUUCCGACCUGCACGAAUGGCGUAAUGAUGGCCAGGCUGUCUCCACCCGAGACUCAGUGAAAUUGAACUCGCUGUGAAGAUGCAGUGUACCCGCGGCAAGACGGAAAGACCCCGUGAACCUUUACUAUAGCUUGACACUGAACAUUGAGCCUUGAUGUGUAG